GAAAAAAAUAACAUAGUACUCGGAACUAUCCAACCAUUUUUGUUUUUACCAUGCCACAUUUUAGUUACCAUGACUAUGAAUAUUGUACCAAGCACCAGCAUCUGGGAAUGACUACUAUGUUUUUAUCAGCCAGCUCAAUUGUCAUCGUUACUAUUCAAACCGUUCAAUUCUACUAUGUUUGCACAUGUUUGUGUUGCAAAUUCUACUAUAUCAUUGUAUACUAUGCCUUUUUCAUAGUUAACAUGAACAGGCAACAUUCUUGAUAAUUAAAAUAUGUCCGAUGUUCACACGGUCGAGAUCACGGUCAAUCGUGUUUGUCUCAAUAUAAUCUGUCCAACCCGUUUCAGUUGAAACAAAAUUACGAAUUAUUGGUAAACGGAAAACAUAUCUGGAUGUCCGGAGCCGGAGGAACGCGCGAUAAAUUGCAAUGCCAGCAUCCUGAAACUGAACGAAGUAAAAUUGUCCGCAUCCAAUGAUCCAUCGUUUUGUUCGUGGGCGGAAAAAUAUGCAGAUUACAAGCCGCAGAAAAUCUGGGCAACGGAAGUAUGGGAUCAAGAUCUUCAGCUAUAGGGAGCCCACGGCAUUCCGGCCAGCUUCAACGGAGUUCUGGAGGAGAUGAAAUCCGUGAGAAUUAGCGACAGUACGACGUUGGCGUUCCCGGUUAAUCGAAGGUUGCCAGUGGGUAACGUUGCAGUCACCAGAACCACAUUUUUCAACACUAGCUGCAUUUUUAUGGGCGAGGAUGCAGCAUGAAAUGAAAACUCUGUGUCUCGAAUUAUCUAAUGUGUUACAUUAAUUAGAAUUUGUUUGUUCAUAUAAAUAAAAUUCCUAAAAAGACACAAAUCUCCAGAUAUUUCUAAUUUGAUUUUAUUUUUUUGCAACAUAAACAAAACCAAACAGAUUUACUAUAUUACCAUUACAUAGUUAUUGUUACCAUGCAUCCACGUUUUCCCCAUAACCAUAAAAAUAGUAACCAAUACCAUAUUACAUUUUGCUGUCAAAAACAUAGUAAUUCGCACAAUGGUAUUGUAAUAUCAAAAAUAAAACAUGGUCUACCAAAAUCAAGUAGUAAAGAUGUUUUAUUUUAACCCUAUGAAAUGGUACCGAUUACCAUGUUCCUUUUUUCAGUG